rnacentral:rRNA from 1 species
UGCAGUCGAGGGGCAGCGAAACACUUCGGUGUUGUCGGCGACCGGCGAACGGGUGCGUAAUGCGCAUGCAAUCUACUUUACACUGGGGAAUAGCCUCCGGAAACGGGAAUUAAUACCUCAUGUAAUCUUAUUAACGCAUGUUAAAAAGAUAAAAGCUCCGGCGGUGUAAAAUGAGCGUGCGUCCUAUUAGCUAGUUGGUGAGGCAAUGGCUCACCAAGGCUACGAUGGGUAGGGGUUCUUAGUGGAAGAUCCCCCACACUGGCACUGAGAUACGGGCCAGACUCCUACGGGAGGCAGCAGUAGGGAAUAUUGGUCAAUGGGCGAAAGCCUGAACCAGCCAUGCCGCGUGCAGGAUGACAGCUCUCUGAGUUGUAAACUGCUUUUGUACAGGAGCAAAACAAUCCCUGCGGGGGUUCUUGAGAGUACUGUAAGAAUAAGCACCGGCUAAUUCCGUGCCAGCAGCCGCGGUAAUACGGAAGGUGCAAGCGUUAUCCGGUUUUAUUGGGUUUAAAGGGUGCGUAGGCGGCUUAUUAAGUCAGUUGUGAAAUCCUAGUGCUUAACGCUAGAACUGCAAUUGAUACUAUUAGGCUUGAGUUAAGAAUAGGUAAGUAGAAUUUAUGGUGUAGUAGUGAAAUGCUUAGAUAUCAUAAGGAAUACCAAUAGCGUAGGCAGCUUACUGGUCUUUAACUGACGCUGAGGCACGAAAGCGUGGGGAGCAAACAGGAUUAGAUACCCUGGUAGUCCACGCCGUAAACGAUGAUCACUCGGUAUACAUAAAUUUAUGUGUGUCUAAGCGA